CCGCCAAAGAGUCUGCCCCAUGGAGUCCAUGGUGUUCAAGGUCUGCGCCACGGAGUGCAGCUGCAAGCCGCAAGUGAUUUUUACAACUGUGGUAGGGAUUGCUGGAUAUAACCAUCCACACAAUGUUGAGCAUGCUCUCCUAUCCCUUUUUCAAUUGUAGAAAUACACAGAAGAGCUCAUUGUUCUCUUGCUUUCAUUUCCUAACAUGAACCAUUUUAAAAUAAAUGUUUUUAUAGGCUGCCACAAUAUUUAGGGCCUAAAGCUACAGUCACAGUGGUUGACAUCGGACCCAGUCCCUAAAUCCCCUUCUACCGCCAGUCAGGUAGCACCAAGUCUGGAGUUUAAAGCUAAAGUGAGAGAAUCUGGCAAUGUCCCUGGGACAUAAAUCCACAGCCAGUUUGGCCUGCAGCACUGGCCUAAAACACUGUCAGAGAGACCGGCACUGGCCCUUGGGCCUGAAACCACAGCCCAGCUGCGGAGGUUAGUACCAGUUUUAAGCCUAAAGCCACAGCCACAGCCAGACAAACCAGCAUGGACCCUGUGGCCUUAAGCCACAGACACAGCCUGAGAAGCCGGCACAGGCCCUGGGGCCUAAAGCCACACACACACACACACUCACAGAAAAAGGAAAAAGAAAAAAGAAAAAGAAGUUAGCACUGACCCCAGGCACUAAUGCCACAGCCUGAGAGGCUGACACUGACCACGGGGCUUAAAGCCAAAGCCACAGCCAGACAGGCCGAAAAAGGCCUUGGAGACUAAAGACACAGCUUGAUAGGCUUGAAACAGUCCAGGGGCUUAAAGCCACAGCCACAGUUAGGCUGGCACCAGCCCUCAGGCCUGAAGCCCAACCAGAGAGGCCAUCACCGGCCCAAGGGCCUAAAGUCACAGCCAGAGAGGCCUACACAAGCCCCGGGGCCUAAAGCCCCAGUCCCAGUCUAAGAAACCAGCACCAGCCCCAAGGUCUGAAGCCACAUCCACAGCCAGACAGGCUGGCAUCAAUUGAUCCCAGGGACUAAAGCCACAGCCUGAAAGGCCAGCACGGGCCCUGGCGCCUAAAGCCACAGACACAGCUGAGAGGCCAGGACCGGCCCCAUGGCCUGAAGCCCCAAUCAGCAAGGCCAGCACCAGCCCAAGGGCCUCAAAAGACAGCCUGAAAGGCUGGAACCAGUCCAGAGACGUAAAGCCACAGUCCCAGCUAGAGAGGCCAGAACCAGCCAAGGGCCUAAGGCCAGAGACAGAGCCAGGGAGGCCAGCACUGGUCCUGGGACUGAAAGACACAUCCCGAGAGGCUGACAUCACCCUUGGGACUUAAAGCCCCAGAAAGUGAUGCGGGCACAGACCCUGGGUUUUGUUUUCUACUGGUUCUUCUGAGACAUCAUUUACCACUAUGAAGUCGUAUUGGUCUUUACUGUUUUUUACUGGGCUGUAUGAGAGCCAUCUUCAGUUCUCCAUUACUGUACAUCAGACAACCCCAUUGGGUGACCCUGGUGUUGGUCUCCUAAAAUUUGGAUCUGGGAGGCAUCCAUUUCCUUCGCUUAUGAUGAAAGCACAGAAAGGAUGCGGGCACUCGCCAAGGCCACAAUCGUUGCUGGGGGGGGAGCAUUUGUGCCACAACUGGUGAACAGAGCUGGUGAUCAGGUGAGCGCGCUGCCCUCACAUUGAGCUUUGGGCCUUCCUUGGAACAGAUCACCCUGUGAGAGCCUGUAAGAAGCAUGGCUGCAGCGUGUGAGUGAGCUGGGUACAGCUUGGGCUGAGCAGGUGAGCUGGGUUUGGUGCUGGGUGGUUGCCAGGAGGUGUCUCAGCAGAAAGGCUGGGCUGAGGAGGAGCUCCCAGCUUCUGUGGUGCCCUUCUGAAUGUUUCCAGGGAAAUGGGUUCUUGCUGAGAUUUCAUCCCAUGAUUCGGUAAAGAUGAUGAAAUGUCAUUACUCCCCUGGAAAAUUGCUGCCAUGCUGGGGGAGUGCUGGGCCACAAACCAGAGGGAAGGGGUCUUACAGGACUGAAAUGCAGAAGGAAGUAAACAUGCUGGGCAGAAAUGCACAAGCAAUAGACAUUGCUGGACAGAAACCAAGAAGGAAUGUGUCUAGCUGGACAGAAACCCAAAAGGAAGGGGGCUUUCUCAGCCCAAAGCUGUCUCACUCCAAUUUAUCGGAGGGAGAUGAGGUUCUCUGAUGUGUGUAUACCUGGCAUGAGAUUAAGAAACAUCAGUUCAAAUGUUGGUCUGACCAGUUUAUUACACAUCCUAGCUGUUCAGGGAGAUGGGGAAGGGGAGAAGGGCGAUAGAAAAGAUAGGAAAUAGAAGCAAGGAGUCCAUAUAGGAAGCAGGAGGGAGAUAGUUACCACCAUGGUCCAACGUGGUUCGUAGUUCAGUCACUGAUCUUCAGUAGUGGUGGGUCGUUGGGUGUUCUCUUGACGAUGGUGACCACAGUGACGACAACAAUGGCAGUACAUACUUAUUUGUAAGUCCAAAGUGGUUGAGUCAGCUCUCUUUUGAGUGACAGCUCAAAUCCAAAGUGGUUGAGUCAGCUCUCCUUGGAGUGGCAGCUACUGGCUCUGAGAUCUCAGCAGAAAUUCCUUUGUUAUCAUCUUCCGGGCCUUGCCAGCAGAUAAGAGGGAGCCGGGAUGCCCAUCUACAUCCUGUUUUUCACAGGGCAAGAUGGUGUUGUUCCCCAAUUUUCCCACACCAAGAUGGGGCUAUUAGGCCAGAUCUUCCGCCAGUAACCACUCCUGAGCACUCUCUUCCGGAGGCAAGCAGCUCUGGAGGAAGGUGCUUUCAAAUGUCAAAGUGAUGUUGAUUGUCACACAGUAGCACCCAUCAUUUGCCACCUCCAUAAAUCAGUUAAGAGUCUUAUCACAAAAAAUACCUCAGGAAGCAAGCUUUGAGACAGAAGACAAAAAAGAGUUCUCACAAAAGCCAGAAGAAAUUGGACUUGCUUUGCAGGAACUAUGACUGAAUGAGGCUUGCAGGGCUGAACGCCAGAAGGAUUGUGCAUUUCUGGGCCAUUAGCCAGAAGAAAAGGUUCUUGCGCGGCCAAAAGGAAUAAAGGAGGGGUUUUCUGCUCCCAAGCCCAGAAGGAAGAGGGCUUGUAAGGCCAUACCCAGAAGAAAUGGGGCAUAGUGGGCAACAAACAGGAGGGAAGGGGUAUUGCUGGACUGAAAGCCAGAAGGAAGGGGGCUUGCUUGGCCCAAACCCAGAAGGAAUUGGACUUGCUUUGCAGAAACUAUGACAGAAGGGGGCUUGCAGGGCUAGAUGACAGAAGGAUUGUGGAUUUCUGGGCCCAUAGCCAGAAUGAAAGGUUCCUGCUGGGCCAAAAGGAAUAAAGAAGGGGUUUUCUGCUCCCAAACCCAAAAGGAAGAGGGCUUGUAAGGCCAUAAGCAGAAGAAAGGGGGCAUGCUGGGAAACAAACGAGAAGGAAUGGAACUCACUGGACACCUAGAAGGAUGGGGACUUUCCGGGGUGAAACUCAGAAGGAAGAGGGCUUGCUGGGCAAAAAGGCAGGAAGAAAGGAGCAUCGUGUGUUGAAACCCAGAAGGAGAGGAACUUUCUCGUCUGUACCCAGAAUAGAGGGGGAGUGCUGGACCACAAAGCAAAAAGAAGGCAUUUUGCUGGACUGAAAUACAGAAGGAAGGGCUCUUACUGGACAGAAAAUCAGACUGAAGGUUAUUUGUGGUCGGAAAUGCAAAUGGAAGUGGUUGAUUUCUGGGCCAAACCCAAGAGGGAAGAAGGCUUGCUGGGCUUAAAUGCAGAAGGAAUGGGCCUUCCUGUGCCGAAAGCCAGUAAGAAAGGGGGCUUGCUGACCCAUACCCAGAAGAAAGGGGGCAUCCUGGGCCAGAAACCAAAAAGAAGCAGUUUCGCUGGACUGAAACCCAUAAGGAAGCUGGCUUCCUGGGCAGAAACGAAGAAGGAAGGUGGCAGGGUGGGCAGACAGCCAGAAGAAACGGGGCUUCCUAGGCCAAAAAGGAGAAGGAAUGGGUCUUGCUGGGCAGAAAUCCAAAAGGCAGAGUUCUUCUGGACAGAAAGUGAGAAGGAAGUGGGCUCACUGGGAAGAAACUCAGAUGCAAGGGGUCUUGCUGGGCCCAAAGCCAGAAGGAAAUGGACUUGCUAUGCUGAAAGGGUAAAGAAAAGAGGCUUCCAUUUCCAAAAGUCAGAAGGAAUGUGGAUUCAUGGGCUUGAAGCCAGAAGUAAAGGAGCUUGUUCAGCAGCAACGAAUACAAAAGGGUUUUUCUGCUCCUAAAAACAGAAGGAAGUUUCUGUCCAACAAGUUCCCUUCCUUCUGCAUUUCAGUCCAGCAAAACGCCUCCUUUAUGCUUUGUGCUCCCUCACUCCUGCUUCCUUCUGGGUACAGAUCAGCAAGCACCAUUCCAUAUGGAGUUUAGACACAGGAUGCCCAUUUCUUCCUGCCUUUUUUCACAGCAGACGCUCUUCCAUCUGAGUUUAGCCCUAGAAAGUCCCCUUCCUUCCGGGUUUCUUUGCAGCGAGACCCAUUACUUUUGGUUUCUGUCUAGCAAUGUCAAUUGCUUGCAGAUUCCUGCCAAGCAUAUCCACUUCUUUCUGCGUUUCAGUUCAACAAGACCCCUUCUUUUUGCUUUGUGGCCCAGCACACCUGAUUUUUUCUGGAUAUGAACCCACAAGACCCCUUCAUUCUGGGUUUUGGCACAUUAUGCCCAUUUCUUCUUGCCUUUUUUCCUAGCCAGUACCCUUCCAUCUGAGUUUCAGUCCAGCAAGAUCUAUUCCUUCUUGGUUUCUGUCCAGCAGUGCCUUUGCUUGUGGACUUCUGCCCAGCAUGUUGACUUUCUCCUGCGUUUAAGUCCAGCUAGACCACUUCCUUUGCUUUGUGGCAAAGCACUCCCAAUUGUUUCUGGAUAUGGAGCUACAGGCCUGCUUUCUUACUGGGUUUGGGCACUGGAAAGCCCAUUCCUUCUGCCUUUAAGUCCAGCAAGCCGUCUUCCCUCUUGGGUUUGGCCCAGCAAUCAACCACUUCCAUUUACAUUUCUGACCACAAAUAACCUUCAACAGGAAGGCCCCUUCCUUCUGUGUUUUGGCCCAGAAAUCUCUCUUUCCUCAGAUUUUCUGCCCAGCAAGACCCCUUACUUCUGCGUUUCAGUCCAGCAAAACCCCUUCUUUAUGCUUUGUUGUCCAGCACUCACACUUCUUUCUGGGUAUGGACCAGCAAGCCCACUUCCUUCUGGGUUUCCGCACAGGAUGACCCUAUCUUCCUGCCUUUUUUCCCCUUCCUUCUGAGUUUAGCCCCAGGAAGUCCCCUUACUUCUAGGUUUCUGUCCAGCAAGAUCCACUUCUUAGUUUCUGUCCAGCAAUGUCUAUUGUGUGUGGAUUUCUAACCAGCACGUCCACUUCCCUCUGCAUUUCAGUCCUGCAAAAUCCCUUCUUUAUUCUUUGUGGCCUAGCUUGCCCAAUUUUUUCUGGGUAUGGACCAGCAAGACCCCUAUCUUCUGGGUUUUGGCACAGGAUGUUCCAAUCUUCCUGCCUUUUUUCCCAGCAAGCCAGUUUCCUUUGCAUCUGGGUUUCAGUCCAGUAAGACCCCUUCCUUCUGGGUUUCGACACAGGAUGCCCCUUUCUUCCUGCUUUUUUCCCUGCAAACCCCUUUCCUUCUGAAUUUCGCUCCAGAAAGUCCCCUUUUUCAGGGUUUUCAGUCCCGCAAGACUCCUUCCCUAUGGUUUGUUGUCCAGCACUCCCCCUCUCUUCUGGGUAUGGCCUUACAAGCCCUCUUCCUUCUGGGUGUGGGAGCAGAAAACCCAUUCUUUAUUCAUUUUGUCCCAACAGGGACCUUUCCUUAUGGCUUUGGGCCCACAAAGCCACAUUCCUUCUGACGUUUGGCAAUUCAAACUCCUUUUCUUCACCCUUUCAGCAUAGCAAGUCCAAUUUUUUCUGGCUUUGGGCCCAGCAAGACCUCUUCGAUCCGGGUUUCUUCCCAGUGAACCCGCUUCCUUCUUGGUUUCUGCCCAGCAAGAACUCUGCUUUAUGGAUUUCUGCCCAGCAAGCCCCUUUCCUUCUCCGUUUUGGCCUAGGAAGCCCCGUUCCUUCUGGCUGUCUGCCCACCCUGCCACCUUCCUUCUUUGUUUCUGCCCAGGAAGCCACCUUUCUUCUGGGUAUCAGUCCAGCAAGGCCCUUAUUUUUGGUUUCUGGCCCAGGACGCCUUCUUUCUUCUGUGUAUUGAUAUGCAAGCACCUGCUAUUACUUGAUUUGCGGAGAAGAGGGCCAUUCCUUCUGCCUUUGUGACCAGCCAGCUUUCUUCCUUUUUGGGUUUGGCCCAAGAAGCAACCCUUUCCAUUUGCAAUUCUGACCAGCAAUCACCUUCCUUCUGAGUUUCAGUCCAGAAAAGCCCCUUCUUUUUGUUCUGUGGUCCAGCACUCCCACGUCUUUCUGGGUACAGAUGAGCAACCUCCCUUCCUUCAGGGUUUUGGCACAGGAUGCCUAAAUCUUUCUGCCUUUUUUUUCCCGCAAGUCCUCUUCCUUCCGAGUUUCUCCCCAGAAAGUCCCUGUCUUUCUGGGUUUCAGUGCAGCAAGAUCCCUUCCUUCUGGUUUGUUCCCCAGCACUCCUCCUUUCUUCUGCAUAAGACCUUACAUGCUAUUUUCCUGCUGUGUUUGGGAGCAGAAAACCCUUCUUUUUUCCUUUUGGCCCAGCAAGGACCUUGCCUUUUGGCUUUGAGCCCAGAAAUCCAUAUUCCUUCUGGCGUUCAGUCCAGCAAUCCUCCUUCCUUCAUAGUUUCAGCACAGCAAGUGGAAUUUCUUCUGGCUUUGGGCCAAGCAAGCCCCUCUUCCAAAAGGUUUUCUGUCCAGUGAGACCCAUUCCUUCUUGGUUUCUGUCAAGCAGUAUCUAUUGCUUAUGGAUUUCUGCCAAGUAAAGCCCCUUCCUUUUGCAUUUCAGUCCAGCAAAACCCUUCUUUUUGGUGUGUGGCCCAUCACGCCCCCAUUCUUCUGGGUAUAACCUUACAAGUCCUCUUCCUACUGUGUUUAGGAGUAGAAAACCUGUUCUGUAUUCGUUGCAGCCUUGCAAGGACCUUUCCUUAUGGCUUUGGGCCCAGAAAUCCACAGAAAUCAAGUCCAAUUCCUUCCGGCUUUGGGCCCAGCAAGACCCCUUGCAUCUGAGUUUCUUCCCAGUGUACCCCUUUCCUUUUUGGUUUCUGUCCAGCAAGAACUCUGCCUUUUGUAUUUCUGCCCAGCAAGACCCUUUCCUUCUCUGUCUUGGCCUAGAAAGCCUUGUUCCUUCUGGCUGUCUGCCCAGCCUGCCACCUUCCUUCUUGGUUUCUUCCCAGCAAGCUGCCUUCCUUCUGGGUUUCAGUCCAGCAAAACCCCUUCUUCUUGGUUUGUGGCCCAGCACUCCCCAUUUCUUCUUGGUAUGGUCUUACAAGCCCCCUUCCUUCUGGAUUUUGGAGCAGCAAAACCAUUCUUUAUUUCUUUUGGCUAAGGAAGAACCUUACCUUCUGGCUUUGGGCCCAGAAAGCCACACUCCUUCUGGCAUUCAGCCCUUCAAUCCUCCUUCCUUCAUGGUUUUUGCAAAGCAAGUCCAAUUUCUUCUGGCUUUGGGCUGAGCAUGACCCCUUCCAUCUUGGUUUCUGUCCAGCUAGACCCAUUCUUUCUUGGUUUAUGUCCAGCAAUGACUACUGCUUCCAGAUUUCUGCCCAGCAUGUCCACUUCCUUCUGCAUUUGAGUCCAGCAAGACACUUUCUUUUUGCUUUGUGGUCUAGAGCACACCAGAUUUUUCAUCUGCCUUUACACAUCAACAAAGUAUUCCACAAACACUCUUUAACCAUGCAUACAGGUGCUUAUGCAAUAAAAGCCAUGGGCCGUUCCUCUUGCUUUUCCUCUAGAGAUAUCCUUAGUUCCCAGCGUUGCUUUCUCAUGCUGUUUAUCUUGCUUCACAGCCACUGCUCUGAAUAGUCUUUCUGCUAUUCCCACACCUAAUGGUUAAUUCUAAACAUUCUUCUCAAGACUUGCCGGCUCGCAAUACGUCAUCAUUGUACUGCAACGUAAUUCCCUCUCUAUUUUCCUGCCUCCACAAUUCCAGCUCCUUUGCUAGUUGAUUGCCAUAGAUAGAUGGGCUGCUCUUAAAUCCCUCUGGCAGCACUAUGUACACCCAGUGAAUUGGGUUUUUCUUCCACUCAAAUACAAACAGCUUCUGACGUAAACAUUCAAGUGGGAUGCAGGAAAGGCAUUUCUCAGGUCUAAUACUGUGAAGCACCGGUGUUACUGACUGAUAGCUUUACUGGAGUGAUAAUCUUGCCAUAUAUUACCCUGAUCCAAAACAAUGAAACACGCCAUCUUCAUUUACAUCCAUACACUGGGACAAGUAACUUACCUGUAAAGAUAAACGUGUACCGACUGAUAUAUAAUAAUAUGUACUUGCCUAUAUAAAAUAGCAUUGUGCUGUUAGCAUUAAUCCAGCAAAUGCAGCACCAUUCCAUCAGUGAAGUCCUAAAGAGGCCCUCUUCUCUGGAUAGUGUUUCUCAAACUUUGUUUAGUCCUAGAUAAUAAAUUUCUUUGACUGAAUUAGGACCAAAAUACAGGGGAAAGAGGAAGUUUCUGCUGCACUAAACACAUAUUUAAGGACACUACAUGAAGUCCUUUACCAUCCAUUACCUCUCUUUUUUUUUUAAACAAUAUGAGGAGUUAGGAUUCAGUCCCAGGUUCUCCAACAAACACAGAAACUGAUAAAUCCAAGUACCAAAACACAGUGUGAACAUUCAAACACAUUGGAGCCAUGGAGCUGCUCAGAGACCUAUUAGUAAAGCACCCAACAGAGCUCAUCUACUUUACCAUUCACUCACAGGUUAGAUAAAAAAUCAUCGGAGGAACUUAGCAGUACCAUUUAAUAGGUGAAUGCUAAUUGAACUGCUUUGGGACUGGCUUUCUAGAAUUACAGUGCUACUGGUAUAUGCUACAAGCCCAUAACAUAGUAGAGGCACAGACUGAUACACUAAUAAUAUUCAUAUCUGCAAUUAAGUGUUUCAGGAUGUUUCCUGCACAAAAUACAUGCAAAAGACAGGUGUUUAGAGAGGAGAUAUUUAUAUAUUCUGCACAGGAUAUAAUGUGGGAAAUCUCCAUGAAUUGAGCUCAUGGAGUCUGUACACUGACUUCUAUUUAGAGUCCCAAGCUUUUUCAUUAGACGCCUAAUACAUAAGUCACAUCUACCUAUUACAUAUUCAUAGGAUUAUUUAAGUACAAUUUUUUUUUUAACAUAUUUGAAUUUGUGCUUGUGUGGGAGAGAAUUUGUGUGGGAGAGAAUUUUAACAUAUUUGAAUUUGUGCUUCAGUGGUCAUUUGCGGAGGUAUCCCAAAGCUUACUAAUUCCACAUUUGUGCACCAGGACACCUACUCCCUUCUCAUUGGUUACUAUUUUGGACUUCUACCUCAUCUAAAGGAUGUUUCUUACUUAUGCCAGCCUUGGAUCUUUGAAGAGAAACAUUCUGUCUCAGGAAGGUUGUUUAUCACAGAUAAGCAGGACAUCUGGAACUUGAAGUGGAGCUUCAGUCUUGAGCAAAAUUCUCAGCCAAAAAAAAAAAAAAAAAAAAAAGAGACAUCAAAGCUCCAGUUCCAUAUUCCAGAAGCAGAGUGGAAUGAGAGGAAGGACUGAAAAACAAAAUAAACUGCCUAGUGUAUCCAGUGCGAAGGUUUUAUUGCCUGUGAGAUCAAAAAUUAACUCUGUCAUCCUCAGCUACUUUAGGACAUCUACAGAUCUGAUAAUAAUAUACAGUAUUAUUAACUACAUUGAAAUCUGAAACUGGGGACAAGACUCAAUCACUAAGACUGUAGAUGGCAACAUUGUCACAUGUGAGAGAUGUUUCAAAAGGCAUGGGAUGAUACUGACUAGAAAAUUACAUAUUUUUCUUUCCACCUUAGCAGGUAUUCCUGCUUCUGUGUGUGAGAUACAACUUAUUUGUCCAUGAUAUGUGCUUUUUUAAAUUAGAUUUAACACUCUAAUAUCACAAAAUAAAUAAAUAAAUAAAUAAAAUAGAGAUUUCUCAGCUUGGGUGCCUUGUGCACCAGCAGAUACAAAAUAACUCCGAGUACAGACAAGAACAGCAGUGGGUAGAAGGAAAUUAACAGUCAAAACCAAUAAUGCAAACAAUAAAAGCGAACCUGGUCUGGAGACUAGUGUUCUUUAUCCUGUUAGAGCUGGAGAGCUACAGCUAAUGCCCAGAUCCCUAUAAUAGAUAAUGUACUGAGAGCCCUGCCAAGUCACUACUGGUGUAAUUCAAGCUAUAGAUUGUCAGAAGACAGUAAUCUGCAGAGAAUUUCAAAAAAGAAGAAGCAAGAAGAAGAGCUACCAAGAAGCCAUUGUAUGUAAGCCAUGCUAGUAGUGUGGCAAUCCUUCUGUAAAAGUUUAACUUAACAUGAUAGCUCAUUUUGGAAACACAGAGAAGAUCAUGGAGGACUUGAAAUGAGCGUCUGGGGAGGGAAUAGUGUGACAUCAAGGGCAGCACAUCAAGUUGUUAAUAAAUGCUUUCUUCGUGUGUUUUGUUGCUGUUUUUUGUUUUUGUACUAGAUACUUUUGCUUCUUUUAUUGAGCUCUUAUUGUAAAUUUGUUGAAUGAAACUUUUUUAAGAUUCUAGUUCUAGUGUUAGAAAAGCAAGCAUUCUUUAUUUUCAGUGCUGUAUGUAUGGAGGUAAUUUUUGUGCAUGUCUUCACAAAAAUGUCUUCACCUUAUAUUCAGUACUUGUGUUACAUAUGCAAAGUUUUUCCCGAAUGGCACAUAUGUAUACAAUAAUUCACCCAAAAUCAUUAACAUUGAGUUCUGCCUCCUUACACAUGCUCAGUCUUUCUGUGUUGUGGUGGUCCCAGUGUGCGAGGUAGAUUGUGUUUUUGCAGUAGCAGUUUCCAGUAUUUUCUGUAUGUAGUGUAGGCCUUUACUGAACUUAUAACCCUCUUGUGAAACAGCUAUGUAAGUUGAUUUUCUUCUACUAAGAAAGUUGCUGAACAGAGUAAAAAGUUAAAAUUUGGGUAGAAUUGAGACAGGUACAAGGUAAGGCAAGUAUGCAGGGUGGAGGGAGAGCCUAGCACAGGACAGAACGGAUGUGCUCACUCUUGGAAAUAUUGUCCUCGUAUCUCCAUGGGAAAGUACAAAAUAUAUCAAAAAACCAACAGGUUGGUAACAGACCUUAUAUGGAAAUGUAUCAUAGCAACAGUGUUGGGGAAAAUUGUGAGCCUGAGACGCUCAACCAAUGAGCGAGUGCCAUGAGAUCAUUACUUGCAUUGGGUUUAAAGUAUAUAACAGAAUGAAUUUCGCUGACUGGUGAGCAAUUUCUCCCUUGCCAAAAGGGGGCGUGAGCCCAUUAUUGCCAUAACGAAUAAACUUUGCUGCUAUCACUAAGAUCCUUGCCUAACCUUUUGACUUUGAGUGUUUCUCACACCAGGACCCUCAAUAGUCUUCCUCACUGUGUUUCCUGGUUGAACUCAGUCUUUGUCAGGCAACUUUCUUGGAGCACCAAGGGUGCAACCACGGCUCUGAGGUAAGCUCCAGGUGGUGGGAAGGGAAAUGUGCAGCAAGCGUGUCUCACCUUCCGUUCCUCCAUGACAGGCCAUAAAAGUCACAAGACACCAAUGAGCAAAGCAGAGAGAAAAACAAGGUGUCCAGAGUUCAAAUGCAGCCCUGAGACACUAGGGCCUCUGAAGUCCACAGUCCAGUGACCAGCGCAAGACCUGACUCCCAUGAGGGAGGCACAGCAGCGAUGUAGAAAAGUGCUACGGCUGCCGGGGCCGGGCCCACAUUUCUAUCUCUACCUGUGAAGGACAGGAACAUCAAGAAAAGGCUGCUAGGGGCCUCCCAAGGAUACAAGCUCCUUUCUCCUCCUCCCUGUGGACACCGGAGCGGAUGUCCCCGCACCUGGCUCCGCGGGGCUUCCCCGAACGGCAAUUCCCCACACGCUCACCCACACCUACGCGCAUCGGGCCGAGCCCCGCGUCCCAGUCGAGCGCAGCAGGCCCGUCGUCCCACCGCAGGAUAAGGGCGAGUUCCUUCUCCCGAGAUCCUUCCUACUCCUCCUCCCCAUCGGAUCCUGAAACGGCAGGCCGCCCUUUCGGCCGUCCUCUCUCCCUGCCGCACCGGCCCCGGGAAGAGCGCCCCUCCAGC
ensembl:lncRNA